AAGUCUGAUGUCUGCUGCAUAGCUUUGAAAAUACAGAUUUGCUAGGCACAACAGGGGUUUGCAUUUGUUAAUCAAAACUGCAAAACUGCAAGGCAAGGUAAAAUCUUUGAAGUUUGAUUAUCCUCAAUUUUUACUUCCUAAGGAAGUCUCUGAUUAAUUGCUAUAUUUGUUAUUUAGCAUAAUUGGUCCAAAUUCAAAUGCCAGAUCACUGCAACGAUCUACUUAUGAACAGGGGAGCAGUGUUUCCUUUGCAGCAAGAAGCAAGGGAUUAGUCAUGAAGAAGGAAGAUGCAGAAGAGGAAAAGGAAGAAGACUCACUUUGGUGGCAAAUGAAGAGGACCCAAGAGCGAAGAUCAAAUGUUGGCCUGGAAAGUCAGGAUGAGGCUGCAAAGUGGGUGAAUUAGAUGCCUCUCCUUUCUCAGUUUGCUCAUUAUAUAAACGAUUUGACACAAGCCA